AUACGUAGGGUGCAAGCGUCAAUCGGAAUUACUGGGCGUAAAGCGUGCGCAGGCGGUUAUGUAAGACAGAGGUGAAAUCCCCGGGCUCAGCCUGGGAACGGCCUUUGUGACUGCAUAGCUAGAGUACGGUAGAGGGGGAUGGAAUUCCGCGUGUAGCAGUGAAAUGCGUAGAUAUGCGGAGGAGCACCGAUGGCGAAGGCAAUCCCCUGGACCUGUACUGACGCCCAUGCACGAAAGCGU
rnacentral:rRNA from 1 species